rnacentral:pre_miRNA from 1 species
UACGUACUCCCUCCGUCUGGAAAUACUUGUCAUCAAAAUGAACAAAAGAGGAUGUAUCCAAAUGUAUUUUAGUUCUAGAUACAUCAUUUUUUAUCCAUUUUGAUGACAAGUAUUUUGAGUGCCUCGUACGGAGACAGU